rnacentral:rRNA from 1 species
AGCGACCGCUGGCGGCAGGCCUAACACAUGCAAGUCGAACGAACCCUUCGGGGUUAGUGGCGGACGGGUGAGUAACACGUGGGAACGUGCCUCUAGGCUCGGAAUAACUCAGGGAAACCUGUGCUAAUACCGCAUGUGCCCUUCGGGGGAAAGAUUUAUCGCCUUUAGAGCGGCCCGCGUCUGAUUAGCUAGUUGGUGAGGUAAUGGCUCACCAAGGCUACGAUCAGUAGCUGGUCUGAGAGGAUGACCAGCCACAUUGGGACUGAGACACGGCCCAAACUCCUACGGGAGGCAGCAGUGGGGAAUCUUGCGCAAUGGGCGAAAGCCUGACGCAGCCAUGCCGCGUGGAUGAUGAAGGUCUUAGGAUUGUAAAAUCCUUUCACCGGUGAAGAUAAUGACUGUAGCCGGAGAAGAAGCCCCGGCUAACUUCGUGCCAGCCGCCGCGGUAAAAC